GCCAGCAUGGUAUAGUGGUUUGAGUGUUGGACUAUAGCUCUGGAGAUCAGGGUUUGAUUCCCCUCUUGAAUGCA
rnacentral:tRNA from 1 species